GAUGAACGCUGGCGGCGUGCCUAAUACAUGCAAGUCGAGCGAACAGACGAGGAGCUUGCUCCCCUGACGUUAGCGGCGGACGGGUGAGUAACACGUGGAUAACCUACCUAUAAGACUGGGAUAACUUCGGGAAACCGGAGCUAAUACCGGAUAAUAUAUUGAACCGCAUGGUUCAAUAGUGAAAGACGGUUUUGCUGUCACUUAUAGAUGGAUCCGCGCCGCAUUAGCUAGUUGGUAAGGUAACGGCUUACCAAGGCAACGAUGCGUAGCCGACCUGAGAGGGAGGUCGGCCAGACUGGAUGUGAGACAGAGUCCAGACUCCUACGGGAAGCAGCAGUAGGGAAUCUUCCGCGAUGGAGGAGAGGCGGACGGAGCAACGCCGCGUGAGGGAUGAAGGUCUUCGGAUCGGUGAACGCUGUUAUUAGGGGAGAACAAAUGUGUAAGUAACUGUGCACAUCUUGACGGUACCUAAUGAAAAAGCCACGGCUAACUACGUG
rnacentral:rRNA from 1 species